rnacentral:rRNA from 1 species
CCUACGGGUGGCAGCAGUGAGGAAUAUUGGUCAAUGGGCGGAAGCCUGAACCAGCCAAGUCGCGUGCAGGAUGACGGCCCUACGGGUUGUAAACUGCUUUUAUACGGGAAUAACGCGCCCUACGUGUAGGGCUUUGCAUGUACCCUAUGAAUAAGGACCGGCUAACUCCGUGCCAGCAGCCGCGGUAAUACGGAAGGUCCGGGCGUUAUCCGGAUUUAUUGGGUUUAAAGGGGGCGUAGGCCGCAUGUCAAGCGUGCUGUGAAAAUUCCGGGCUCAACCCGGGCCUUGCAGCGCGAACUGGCGGGCUUGAGUGCGCGGAAAGCAGGCGGAAUGCGUCGUGUAGCGGUGAAAUGCUUAGAUAUGACGAAGAACCCCGAUUGCGAAGGCAGCUUGCUGCAGCGGAACUGACGCUGAUGCUCGAAAGCGCGGGUAUCGAACAGGAUUAGAUACCCGAGUAGUC